UACAGAGGGGGCAAGCGUUGUUCGGAAUUACUGGGCGUAAAGGGCUCGUAGGCGGCCAACUAAGUCGGACGUGAAAUCCCCAGGCUCAACCUGGGAACUGCGUCCGAUACUGGAUGGCUUGAAUUCGGGAGAGGGAUGCAGAAUUCCAGGUGUAGCGGUGAAAUGCGUAGAUAUCUGGAGGAAUACCGGUGGCGAAGGCGGCAUCCUGGACCGACAUUGACGCUGAGGAGCGAAAGCUAGGGGAGCAAACGGGG
rnacentral:rRNA from 1 species